rnacentral:rRNA from 1 species
GAUGAACGCUAGCGGGAGGCUUAACACAUGCAAGUCGAGGGGCAGCAUAGGGUAGCAAUACUCUGAUGGCGACCGGCAAACGGGUGAGUAACGCGUAUGCAACCUACCCUGUACAGGGGGAUAACCCGGAGAAAUUCGGACUAAUAUCCCGUAAUAAUAUCCGGAGGCAUCUUUGGAUAUUUAAAGUUCCGACGGUACGGGAUGGGCAUGCGUAACAUUAGCUGGUUGGUAAGGUAACGGCUUACCAAGGCUAUGAUGUUUAGGGGUCCUGAGAGGGUGGUCCCCCACACUGGUACUGAGACACGGACCAGACUCCUACGGGAGGCAGCAGUGAGGAAUAUUGGUCAAUGGGCGCAAGCCUGAACCAGCCAUCCCGCGUGCAGGAAGACGGCCCUAUGGGUUGUAAACUGCUUUUCCAGGGAGAGAACUUACGCACGUGUUGCGUGACUGACGGUACCCUGGGAAUAAGCAUCGGCUAACUCCGUGCCCAGCAGCCGCGGUAAUUCACGUGUACC